rnacentral:rRNA from 1 species
GACGAACGCUGGCGGCGUGCUUAACACAUGCAAGUCGAACGGAAAGGCCCUGCUUUUGUGGGGUGCUCGAGUGGCGAACGGGUGAGUAACACGUGAGUAACCUGCCCUUGACUUUGGGAUAACUUCAGGAAACUGGGGCUAAUACCGGAUAGGAGCUCCUGCUACAUGGUGGGGGUUGGAAAGUUUCGGCGGUUGGGGAUGGACUCGCGGCUUAUCAGCUUGUUGGUGGGGUAGUGGCUUACCAAGGCUUUGACGGGUAGCCGGCCUGAGAGGGUGACCGGCGACAUUGGGACUGAGAUACGGCCCAGACGCCUACGGGAGGCAGAAGGGGGGAAUAUUGCACAAUGGGCGGAAGCCUGAGGCAGCAACGCCGCGUGCGGGAUGACGGCCUUCGGGUUGUAAACCGCUUUCGCCUGUGACGAAGCGUGAGUGACGGUAAUGGGUAAAGAAGCACCGGCUAACUACGUG